rnacentral:rRNA from 1 species
UACGUAGGGAGCAAGCGUUGUUCGGAUUUACUGGGCGUAAAGGGCGCGUAGGCGGCGCGACAAGUCACUUGUGAAAUCUCCGGGCUUAACUCGGAACGGUCAAGUGAAACUGUCAUGCUAGAGUGCAGAAGGGGCAAUCGGAAUUCUUGGUGUAGCGGUGAAAUGCGCAGAUAUCAGGAGGAACACCAAUAGCGAAGGCAGCUCGCUGGGACGGUACUGACGCUGAGGCGCGAAAGCGUGGGGGAGCGAACAGG